rnacentral:rRNA from 1 species
CACAGAGAGCUUGCUCUCGGGUGACGAGCGGCGGACGGGUGAGUAAUGUCUGGGAAACUGCCUGAUGGAGGGGGAUAACUACUGGAAACGGUAGCUAAUACCGCAUAACGUCGCAAGACCAAAGUGGGGGACCUUCGGGCCUCAUGCCAUCAGAUGUGCCCAGAUGGGAUUAGCUAGUAGGUGGGGUAAUGGCUCACCUAGGCGACGAUCCCUAGCUGGUCUGAGAGGAUGACCAGCCACACUGGAACUGAGACACGGUCCAGACUCCUACGGGAGGCAGCAGUGGGGAAUAUUGCACAAUGGGCGCAAGCCUGAUGCAGCCAUGCCGCGUGUAUGAAGAAGGCCUUCGGGUUGUAAAGUACUUUCAGCGAGGAGGAAGGCGUUAAGGUUAAUAACCUUGGCGAUUGACGUUACUCGCAGAAGAAGCACCGGCUAACUCCGUGCCAGCAGCCGCGGUAAUACGG